CUCCCUCGCCACCUCCCUCCCUCUCUCCAUCACCCCUCCCCCCUCACCCCCUCCCAGACCUUGAAACUUCCUAUCAUUAAGUGAAGGAACCGUUACAGUGACGCCACCAGCCGAUAAGAUACGUCGCAGCGUCGGUCCGUUAUGCGUCGACCUAUGAGAACACGACACGACAUUUUUUCAACCAAUCAGGUGGCUGUACAUACAUCCACGUGGCUGUUGAAAAGGCCAGAUGCGCAGUAUUCUAAGCCAAUCAAAUUGCUGGAUUCUGUAUCAUGAUAACACUCGGCCGGCUUAAGGGUCGGGUGCAGCUGUCAGUAUCUGGGCAAGCCUUGCGGUGGGUAGACGAGGGCCCAAGAUGCUCCCUGGCUUGGUGACCUGACCUGAAGACUGAGGCAUAAUGCAGUCACCAGUAUGACCUGGAGGUCGUCACCAGUAUGACCUGGAGGUCGUCACCAGUAUGACCUGGAGGUCGUCACCAGUAUGACCUGGAGGUCGUCACCAGUAUGACCUGAAGGUCGUCACCAGUAUGACCUGGAGGUCGCCACCAGUAUGACCUGGAGGUCGCCACCAGUAUGACCUGGAAGUCGUCACCAGUAUGACCUGGAGGUCGUCACCAGUAUGACCUGGAGGUCGUCACCAGUAUGACCUGGAGGUCGUCACCAGUAUGACCUGGAGGUCGCCGCCAGAGGCCACCAGGUGGCCUCACGGGUUCUACCGAAGUUAUUCUUCCAUUUCUCUAAAGGAAGUCACACACCGAUGACUUCAUUCAUAGACGUCACUUUACGAUGAUGGAUCAAGUGACGCCGCACACCUUCUUUCAUCACUACAUAUCUAACCUCUUGGGAUUAGUCUCGUAUAUAAUUUAUAAUAAUUUGUUCCCUAUAAUUGUCACUUUUGUUCUUAAUAAUUAUUCUUGUAACAAACAUUAUAUUAUAUUUGUCAUUAUAAA